GAGCCCCGUGGAGGAGGGGAAACGGUGCUGGAAACCCUGCACUUACAAGCUGUGGAAGCACAUUUCUUGUGUGACCGCGUACUUUUUGUAGAACGGGCCAACGAGUUACGUUAAGUAGAAAGGUUAAGCACUUAAGGUGUGGAGCCGUAGCGAAAGCGAGUUUUAACUGAGCGUUCAGUUACUUGACGUAGACCCGAAACCGGGCGACCUACCCA
rnacentral:rRNA from 1 species